UACGGAGGGUGCAAGCGUUCAUCGGAAUUACUGGGCGUAAAGCGUGCGCAGGCGGUUAUAUAAGACAGAUGUGAAAUCCCCGGGCUCAACCUGGGAACUGCAUUUGUGACUGUAUAGCUAGAGUACGGCAGAGGGGGAUGGAAGUCCGCGUGUAGCAGUGAAAGGCGUAGCUAGGCGGAGGAACACCGAUGGCGAAGGCAAUCCCAUGGGCCUGUACUUAAGCGCAUGCACGAACUCUGUGUACGCCAACAGUAUUCGAUCCCAGUGGAGUCC
rnacentral:rRNA from 1 species